rnacentral:rRNA from 1 species
GUGGGGAAUCUUGCGCAAUGGGCGAAAGCCUGACGCAGCCAUGCCGCGUGAAUGAUGAAGGUCUUAGGAUUGUAAAAUUCUUUCACCGGGGACGAUAAUGACGGUACCCGGAGAAGAAGCCCCGGCUAACUUCGUGGCAGCAGCCGCGGUAAUACGAAGGGGGCUAGCGUUGCUCGGAAUUACUGGGCGUAAAGGGCGCGUAGGCGGACAGUUUAGUCAGAGGUGAAAGCCCAGGGCUCAACCUUGGAAUUGCCUUUGAUACUGGCUGUCUUGAGUACGGGAGAGGUGAGUGGAACUCCGAGUGUAGAGGUGAAAUUCGUAGAUAUUCGGAAGAACACCAGUGGCGAAGGCGACUCACUGGCCCGUUACUGACGCUGAGGCGCGAAAGCGUGGGGAGCAAACAGGAUUAGAAACCCGAGUAGUCC